rnacentral:rRNA from 1 species
UACGUAGGGCGCAAGCGUUGUCCGGAAUUAUUGGGCGUAAAGAGCUCGUAGGCGGCUUGUCACGUCGGUUGUGAAAGCCCGGGGCUUAACCCCGGGUCCGCAGUCGAUACGGGCAGGCUAGAGUGUGGUAGGGGAGAUCGGAAUUCCUGGUGUAGCGGUGAAAUGCGCAGAUAUCAGGAGGAACACCGGUGGCGAAGGCGGAUCUCUGGGCCAUUACUGACGCUGAGGAGCGAAAGCGUGGGGGAGCAACAGGAUUAGAUACCCGCGUAGUCC